GGGCGCAGCCUGGAUCCAGCCAUACCGCGGUGGGUGAAGAAGGCCUUCGGGUUGUAAAGCCCUUUUGUUGGGAAAGAAAUCCAGCUGGCUAAUACCCGGUUGGGAUGACGGUACCCAAAGAAUAAGCACCGGCUAACUUCGUGCCAGCAGCCGCGGUAAUACGA
rnacentral:rRNA from 1 species